UAAUCAACCAUGGAUCUCGUG
rnacentral:piRNA from 1 species